UAGGAUUUAGGUUAAAUAAACCAGUUGCCUUCAAAGCAAUCAAUAAGUUAAUAAAUCUUAAUCCUAA
rnacentral:tRNA from 1 species